CGCACGGGACGCUGCCAGUACUGCAGUCGAGCGAAUCGGUAUUAAGAGCUUGCUCUUAUGAAGUUAGCGGCGGACGGGUGAGUAACACGUGGGUAACCUGCCCAUAAGACUGGGAUAACUCCGGGAAACCGGGGCUAAUACCGGAUAACAUUUUGAACCGCAUGGUUCGAAAUUGAAAGGCGGCUUCGGCUGUCACUUAUGGAUGGACCCGCGUCGCAUUAGCUAGUUGGUGAGGUAACGGCUCACCAAGGCAACGAUGCGUAGCCGACCUGAGAGGGUGAUCGGCCACACUGGGACUGAGACACGGCCCAGACUCCUACGGGAGGCAGCAGUAGGGAAUCUUCCGCAAUGGACGAAAGUCUGACGGAGCAACGCCGCGUGAGUGAUGAAGGCUUUCGGGUCGUAAAACUCUGUUGUUAGGGAAGAACAAGUGCUAGUUGAAUAAGCUGGCACCUUGACGGUACCUAACCAGAAAGCCACGGCUAACUACGUGCCAGCAGCCGCGGUAAUACGUAGGUGGCAAGCGUUAUCCGGAAUUAUUGGGCGUAAAGCGCGCGCAGGUGGUUUCUUAAGUCUGAUGUGAAAGCCCACGGCUCAACCGUGGAGGGUCAUUGGAAACUGGGAGACUUGAGUGCAGAAGAGGAAAGUGGAAUUCCAUGUGUAGCGGUGAAAUGCGUAGAGAUAUGGAGGAACACCAGUGGCGAAGGCGACUUUCUGGUCUGUAACUGACACUGAGGCGCGAAAGCGUGGGGAGCAACCAGGAUUGGAUACCUUGGUAGUCCACCCGUUAAAGGAUGAGUGCUAGGUUUGGAGGGUUUCCGCCUUUAAGUGUGAAAGUUAAGCCAUUAACCAUUCCGCUUGGGAAUUACGGCGCCAGGGUGGAAAUUCAAGGAAAUGGAGGGGGGCCGGCCCAAGCGGUGGACCAGGGGGUUAAUUUGGAAGCAACGGGAAGACCUUUACCAGUUCUGGACUUCUUCUGCCACCCCAGGAGAUAGGGUUUUUCUUUGGGAAGCGGAUGGCCAGGUGGGGCAGGGUGUUGUUCAGUUCGGUUCGGGAGAGGUGGGGUUAAUUCCGGAAAGGACCGCAACCCUUGUUUUUAGUUGCCUUCAUUAAGUUGGCCACUUUAGGGGGACGGCGGGGACCAACCCGGAGAAAGGGGGGGAGGACUUCAAUUCUUCAUCCCCCUUUUGCCUUGGGUUCCCCACGGGUUCCAAGGGACGGUCCAAGGAGUUCCAGGACCGGAAGGGGGAGUUAUUUUCUUAAACCCGUUUUCAGUUCGGAUUUUAGGUUGCAAUUGCCUUCCAGGAAGCGGGAAUCGUUGGUAUUGGGGGUUCACCAGGCCGCGGGGAAUACGUUCCCGGCCCUGGUCCCCCCCCCCGGCCCCACCAGGGGAGUUGUAACCACCGGAAGUCGGGGGGGAAAGUUUUAGAGCCAUCUGCUAGUAAGUCGAUCAAUUUGA
rnacentral:rRNA from 1 species